rnacentral:rRNA from 1 species
AUGGCGUCUGUACCUGCAGCAUGUGGAGUUCGACAUAUACACGGACCAAAAGAGCUUGACACACCUGGAAGAACAAAGGCUCACCACUCCGUGGCAGCAGAAAGCAUUUGCAAAACUUCUGGGGCUGAGAUACAGAAUCAGGUACAAGAAAGGAGCAGAGAACAACGGAGCAGAUACGCUGUCUCGAGCUAA